UGCAAGUCGAGCGCACCUUCGGGUGAGCGGCGGACGGGUGAGUAACGCGUGGGAAUAUGCCCUUUUCUACGGAAUAGCCUCGGGAAACUGAGAGUAAUACCGUAUACGCCCUUCGGGGGAAAGAUUUAUCGGAGAAGGAUUAGCCCGCGUUGGAUUAGGUAGUUGGUGGGGUAAUGGCCUACCAAGCCGACGAUCCGUAGCUGGUUUGAGAGGAUGAUCAGCCACACUGGGACUGAGACACGGCCCAGACUCCUACGGGAGGCAGCAGUGGGGAAUCUUAGACAAUGGGGGAAACCCUGAUCUAGCCAUGCCGCGUGAGUGACGAAGGCCCUAGGGUCGUAAAGCUCUUUCGCCAGGGAAGAUAAUGACGGUACCUGGUAAAGAAGUCCCGGCUAACUCCGUGCCAGCAGCCGCGGUAAUACGGAGGGGACUAGCGUUGUUCGGAAUUACUGGGCGUAAAGCGCGCGUAGGCGGACUAUUAAGUCAGGGGUGAAAUCCCGGGGCUCAANCCCGGAACUGCCUUUGAUACUGGUAGUCUUGAGUUCGAGAGAGGUGAGUGGAAUUCCGAGUGUAAGGUGAAUUCGUAAU
rnacentral:rRNA from 1 species